AUAUACGACCAUACCUAUCGGAAACCUCGGGAUCCCGUCCGCUCUCCCCUAGGUAAACCAAUAAGGGCCGGAUCAGUAGUCGGGUGGGUGACCACCAGCGAAUACCUGGUGUUGUAUGUU
rnacentral:rRNA from 1 species